rnacentral:snoRNA from 1 species
AAAAUCGUGAUGAUUAUAAAAAUUCCUCGUUCUGAAUUGCUAUUUUCAUAGCAUGAUAGACUCAUCUAUACACCCAUAGAAUAUGAGCAUU